CAAUAGCGUAUAUUAAAGUUGUUGCAGUUAAAAAGCUCGUAGUUGGAUUUCUGGUGGGAGCGAUCGGUCUGGCGCUUAGCGCGAGUACUUGCAUCGUCUCCGGCCAUCCUUGGGGAGCGUCUGUCUGGCAUUAGGUUGUCGGGCAGAGGAUCCUCAUCGUUUACUGUGAAAAAAUUAGAGUGUUCAAAGCAGGCUUAUGCCGUUGAAUAUAUUAGCAUGGAAUAAUAAGAUAGGACUUUGGUACUAUUUUGUUGGUUUGCGCACCAAAGUAAUGAUUAAUAGGGACAGUUGGGGGUAUUCGUAUUCCGUUGUCAGAGGUGAAAUUCUUGGAUUUACGGAAGACGAACUACUGCGAAAGCAUUUACCAAGGAUGUUUUCAUUAA
rnacentral:rRNA from 1 species